UACGAAGGGGGCUAGCGUUGCUCGGAAUCACUGGGCGUAAAGGGUGCGUAGGCGGGUCUUUAAGUCAGGGGUGAAAUCCUGGAGCUCAACUCCAGAACUGCCUUUGAUACUGAGAUCUUGAGUUCGGGAGAGGUGAGUGGAACUGCGAGUGUAGAGGUGAAUUCGUAGAUAUUCGCAAGAACACCAGUGGCGAAGGCGGCUCACUGGCCCGAUACUGACGCUGAGGCACGAAAGCGUGGGGAGCAAACAGGG
rnacentral:rRNA from 1 species